rnacentral:rRNA from 1 species
CUACCCUUGACAUGUCUGGAAUUGCGCGGAGAUGUGCAAGUGCCCGAAAGGGAGCCAGAACACAGGUGCUGCAUGGCUGUCGUCAGCUCGUGUCGUGAGAUGUUGGGUUAAGUCCCGCAACGAGCGCAACCCUUGCCAUUAGUUGCUACGAAAGGGCACUCUAAUGGGACUGCCGGUGACAAACCGGAGGAAGGUGGGGAUGACGUCAAGUCCUCAUGGCCCUUAUGGGUAGGGCUACACACGUCAUACAAUGGCUGGUACAGAGGGUUGCCAACCCGCGAGGGGGAGCUAAUCCCAUAAAACCAGUCGUAGUCCGGAUCGUAGUCUGCAACUCGACUGCGUGAAGUCGGAAUCGCUAGUAAUCGCGGAUCAGCAUGUCGCGGUGAAUACGUUCCCGGGUCUUGUACACACCGCCCGCCACACCAUGGGAGCGGGUUCUGCCAGAAGUAGUUAGCCUAACCGCAAGGAGGGCGAUUACCACGGCAGGGUUCGUGACUGGGGUG